AACGAACGCUGGCGGCGCGCCUAAUACAUGCAAGUCGAGCGAGAAGACGUAGCAAUACGUUUGUAAAGCGGCGAACGGGUGAGGAAUACAUGGGUAACCUACCCUCGAGUGGGGAAGUAACUAGCCGAAGGUUAAGGUCUAAUAACCGCGUACGCUCCUUCGGUACGUUCGGUUUCGUAGGGAGGGAAAGGACGAUACCG
rnacentral:rRNA from 1 species